UGUGUGGGAGAGAGAGCUCCCCAAUUGACCAAAUCCAUCGCCUUCCACAAACCCGUGGCCGUCAAAUGCAGCAAAGACGGCGGCCGAGGGAAUGGCGACGGGGCAGUUUGAGGGACGCUCUGUCGUUUAUGUUGGGCGAGAAAGUGGAGGAGCUUCUGAACAGCGAAGAGAACCGUGGGGUGUUGGAUGAGCUGGACGGAGAGUCGAAAUGGCUAAACAAGAGCUCGCCGAGAUUGAAAAGCAAGAAGGCGAGGCCAAGAGCAUGAGGGAUUAUAUCUAUUGUCUGGAAUCAAAAGCUUCUGUGGUCGAACACAAGGAU